GUUUUAGCCGUUUCAAUUACGCAAAGUCGCGAACCGCGUACGCCGUGUGAUUUUUACACUAAAUUCCCAAAUCUACCCCCCACCGAUCAAAACGCUCAAAUUACGGUCUCAGAUUUUUCCUUCCUUAGAAUAUCGGUCUCAGUUCCAGACACCUCUAUAAAUUAAGGCCGCGCGGCCUCAUUCGCAUCCGUGUCUCCCUCUCAGAUCUCUCUCUCUCUCUCUCUCUCUCUCGUUCGCUUGCUCGCUCUUGCAAAGAUAGUAUAUUCAAAACAAUUUAGUUGGUGCUCAUGGGAACUGCUGUUGAAGCUUCAAACGAGAAGGCUAAUGGAAGCAUAGCUGAGAAGAAGCCUACAGUUGUUUUUGUCUUAGGAGGCCCAGGCAGUGGAAAGGGUACCCAAUGUGCGAAUAUUGUUCAACACUUUGGUUAUACCCAUCUCAGUGCUGGUGAUCUUCUCCGAGCAGAAAUCAAAUCUGGUUCUGAAAAUGGUACCAUGAUUCAGAACAUGAUUAAAGAAGGAAAGAUUGUUCCCUCAGAGGUAACCAUUAAGCUUCUCCAACGAGCAAUAGAGGAAAAUGGUAAUGACAAAUUUCUUAUCGAUGGUUUUCCUCGUAAUGAGGAAAAUCGAGCGGCAUUUGAGGACGUCACAAAAAUCGAGCCAGCUUUUGUCUUGUUUUUUGAUUGUUCUGAAGAAGAGAUGGAGAGGCGGCUUUUGAGUAGGAACCAGGGAAGGGAAGAUGAUAACAUUGAAACAAUUAGGAAGCGCUUUAAGGUUUUCUUGGAGUCUAGUCUCCCUGUUAUUGAGCAUUAUGAUUCGAGGGGAAAGGUUCGAAAGAUUGAUGCUGCAAAGCCUGUUGAAGAGGUUUUUGAGUCGGUUAAAGCUUUUUUCACCUCUAAAAAUGAGAAGGCUGACUGAGAGCUGCAUAUCUACCUGAAAUUUCAGACAAUAUAUCUCUAUUGAGGUAGAUCAGGAUUGAACAUGGCUAUUCUUCACCCUGAAAUCAACGAUUUUGUUUUUUGCUCUUCCAAUUUUUUGACUUCUAUGGUUCUUGCGAACUGGAGCGGAUGUUAAAAGGUUAUGUAUUGUUGGCUGCGUAUGAUUGUAUUCUAUUAAGGAUGUUAUACCUCCCAUUUGUUCCUUAUUACAGAAGAUUGUACCUCUAUAUCUUUACUAUUGUGAUUGUAUUUUCAAUUACAUUAUUAAUAUUCUAGUAACAGCAAUAAGGCUCUUUUCACA